rnacentral:lncRNA from 1 species
GCGACGCUUUCCGCCGCUAGUACAGCAUUCGUUCUCUGCUCCAGAAGCAAGCAGGGUCUUGUUUAGUUCACUAGGUAAUUUUUUUACUGUAACAUUAUCGUUUGUAUUUAAUAAUUAUUGUCUAAUGACUGCCUAGAUUUAAAAGAUUUAUUUCGUAAAUUACAAAUAAACUAUGUAAUUAGUUAUUUUUUAUCUAUAUUUAAUACUUUAUGUAUAUGCUGUAAGAUUUGAUGUGAUGAGAAAUUUUGAUUUUUUUUUUAGAUUUUGAGUGUAACUAAACAAGACUCAAAUACUACUGCGUAUUACAGAACAAAACUGGUGCGCAGGCGUAGACGUGCGGUGUAGCCGUGU